AUGCUCUUCUUUCCAUUUAGAUGGGUUCAGUGGGUCCUGCCAGAAGUUGACCUUAGGAGGUCCAUGAUGAUCUCCACCACCGGCUAGACCGCGCCGAUGGAUGAGGGAAGCAGCUUGAGGAGCUGAAGCAACUCUUGGAGAGGAAAGCGUAGUGAGAUUCGCGGCUUGACGAGCAGCCGCAGUCCAUGCUGCCAUGAUUGUUUACCCUAGAGAGUGGAAGUUGAGAGAAACUGCGAGAGUGAGAGAAACAAGAAGCAACAGAUGCG
rnacentral:misc_RNA from 1 species